rnacentral:rRNA from 1 species
GACGAACGCUGGCGGCGUGCCUAAUACAUGCCAGUAGAACGCACAGUUUAUACCGUAGCUUGCUACACCAUAGACUGUGAGUUGCGAACGGGUGAGUAACGCGUAGGUAACCUGCCUGGUAGCGGGGGAUAACUAUUGGAAACGAUAGCUAAUACCGCAUAAUAUUAAUUAUUGCAUGAUAAUUAAUUGAAAGUUGCAAUUGCACCACUACCAGAUGGACCUGCGUUGUAUUAGCUAGUAGGUGAGGUAACGGCUCACCUAGGCGACGAUACAUAGCCGACCUGAGAGGGUGAUCGGCCAAACUGGGAGUGAGACACGGCCCAGACUCCUACGGGAGGCAGCAGAAGGGAAUCUUAGGCAAUGGACGAAAGUCUGACCGAGAAAGGCCGCGUGAGUGAAGAAGGUUUUCGGAUCGUAAAGAUCUGUUGUAAGAGAAGAACGGGUGUGAGAGUGGAAAGUUCACACUGUGACGGUAUCUUACCAGAAAGGGACGGCUAACUACGUG